rnacentral:lncRNA from 10 species
AACUGGUUGCUGUAUAAAUUUUAAAGAUCCAUCCUCAGGUCAGCCAUGCACAAUGGCACUCUACAUGAAAGGCAGAAUUUUUUUGUUGGAGCUCUAAAUGGGAGAAGCCUUUCAGGCAGAGCCAUACAAGGGACUGAAUCUGGGAACAAGGUUUGAUGACUGGCUUACAGAGAAGAAUAAGGAAAUGUACCUCUAAGAAUCGUUUGAAAUGAGUCUUCAUAUCCUCCCAAAUAUUUUUCAAGAACGUUUGGCAUUACUUCAAAAAUUAACUUUAGGAAAGGAACUAUUAUCACAUUUUAAGAGGGGAAUUGCAGUUGCACUUAAACUAGAAACUUCCACUUGGUGAAUUGAAUUAUUAAGGAAUAAUGGCAGAAGAAAGAAAAUCAAACCAGGAAUAUUUUUCAGACACAAAUAAUACUGGCUCAGCUCCGAUUCAGUAGGCUCACAUCAUUUAAACUAACGAUUACCUUGACACCACCAGAAGAAAAAUAGGAAAGUAAGAAGUGCCUUAGAAGUAUGAUAUUAUCAUUUAUUGCAAAGGAUACAAUAGUUAAGGUUGAAGUUUUUUAAGAGAAUGAAUGAUGGAGACCCCCAACAGAAAGGGAAAUUUUGCCUCCAGAAUGCAACAUCAACUCUUCUCUCCAGCCUGCCCUCCUUCCAUACAAAGUUUGGACUUGCCAGCCUCCACAACAAUGUGAGCCCAAUUUUUAAAUCUCUCUUUUUCUGUUUCUCUGGAAAAUCUAAUACUAACUCUUACAAUAAGUAUGUCUUUACUACUAAAAAAAAAGUUUUCUUGUCAGGUCAUACCAUACAACUAAUUUUUCUUUUUAACUUACUUUUCAUGCUUAUUGGUGGAAUAUUGGUGACUCAGGGCACAAAAUUAUAUUAGCUUCACAACAAAAAAAAUUUCUUUUGAUUCAUAUCUUAUAAAGAUCAGAUAAAGGCAUGAACUUUUAUAUUUGAACCUGUAAUUGUAUAUUACAAGCUACCCCAUAUAAUCAUGUAAUAUUUUACAGCAUAUUUUUAUUCAUUAAUUUCAUAUUAUUUAGUUUUACUCCCCCAAAAUAGGUAUUUCUAUACCUAUCUAUUCAAUAGGUGAUGAAAGAAAACAUGAAUCUUGCCCAAAGCUUCAUAAAACAAUGUGUGGCAUAGUUAGGACUGCAAUUCAUCUAAAUAGCCUUCAAACCCUUGGUGUUUUCAUCACAUCACAGUAGCCUAAGUCAAAAGCAUACACUACAG